AGGAUGAGUUCCAGUCCCAUCUGUGUGACUGAUGCUACCUCCUUCCCCACCUUUUCUUUCAUGCUGCCAGCCUGGAGAAGAUGAGGAGCUGGAGCUCCUUAGAGAGAAUUGAGCUGAAUCUUGGACCUGGAGUCUGAUGUGAUACCCCUGCUUAGCCCAGAUGGCUACAGAGAGCAGAGUGACAGCUAUCAAGACAGAUGCUUCACUCAUGUUGUGAACUGAAGAUUGAUCUGGCUAAGCACAAAUAAGUCCCUCUUGCUGAGCUAACACAGAAGGUGAUCAUUCAAGGGCUGUGGUUAUUCAGACCUGACACAUAACAAUGUGGAGCAACAGACACCCUUCUCUGUGGCGGCAUUGUGUGCUCCUUAUACUUAUAAGUCUCAUCAGUAAGCAACA